UACAGAGGGUGCGAGCGUUAAUCGGAACUACUGGGCGUAAAGCGCACGUAGGCGGCUUUGUAAGUUAGAGGUGAAAGCCCGGGGCUCAACUCCGGAAUUGCCUUUAAGACUGCAUCGCUAGAAUUGUGGAGAGGUAAGUGGAAUUCCGAGUGUAGAGGUGAAAUUCGUAGAUAUUCGGAAGAACACCAGUGGCGAAGGCGACUUACUGGACACAUAUUGACGCUGAGGUGCGAAAGCGUGGGGAGCAAACAGG
rnacentral:rRNA from 1 species